CUUGAGGUGUAGAAGACAUAGCGGAAAUCACGGGUUGCAUCCACCAGGAGACCUGAAAUGGAAACCACAGCUUAGUUAAAAAGAGGAUACGUGAAUGGUUUGGGUUGGAAGGGACCUUCAAGAUCACCUAGUUCCAACUCCCUGCUGCAGGCAGCGACACCUCCCUCUACCAGGUUGCUCACAGGCCCAUCCAGCCUGGCCUUGAAUGCUACCAGGGAGGGGGCAUCCACAGCUUCACUGGGCAACCUGUUCCCGUGUCUCACCACCCUCACAGUAAAUAAUUUCUUCCUGAUAUCUAGUCUAAAUCUACCCUACUCCAGUUUAAAACCAUUUUCCCUCAUCCUGUCACUAUAUGCACUUAUAAAAAGUCCCUCCCCAGCUUUCCCGUAGGCCCUUCCGUGUUGGAAGGCUGCUAUAAGGUCUCCUCAGAGCCUUAUCUUCUCCAGGAUGAAGAGCCCCAGCUGUCAGUUUUGCCCAUCUGCCACUCCUAUCAGAGACAUCCCAGACCUUUUCUGCACUUUGAGAAAAGCAACUAACAUGUUUUGCCUGGGAAUGACAUGACAUACAGUGCAUGUAGUCCCAUUCAUAGAACAGAUAGUUGCUUUCCCACUGGAUGAGAUACAAUUCAGUGCCUGGAGAAGAGAGCUAAAACCAGUAGAGGAUUCACACUCAGAUUUGUAUUUUGUCUGUCAGUCUUUUGAAUUUGUUGCUAUACUGCAGGAGCAGGUACUUAGCCAGGUUAUUCAGUGGCUUUUGGAGUGAACUGUGAAAUCUGUGAGUAAUUUAUUAGAUUUGAGGGCAUAACUAGUUUCCUUUCUUGCCUCUAGAGGAAAAUGAAUGCACUCCAUAACCAGGAAUAACAAUAAGUAGAAGAGGCUUUUACUAUAAGCCUCUUCAGUUACGUAGAGCUGGUAAUACCUCUGACGACAGUAGAUGUAUGGAUGUUUGCAAUUUCUUGAGACUUCAUAGAUCAGUGCUAGGAAUGCAGUGAGAAUUUUAUGACAGCACGAUCCUACUACUGUAAUUCCUCUCUGUGCUCUGCCAUUCGAAGGAAACAAGUUCUCAUCACUGCAUGCCUGUCGAAGCUGCCUGCCAAAUGUGCAGCUUUUUCACUGUCUGCUGUUGCUUCAGAGACACUUAGGCAGCUACAGAAAUUAUCCUUGUUCGGCUGUGAGAAGGGCAUUCCUUUCUGAGUCUUCCUUUUGUAUUGCUCCCUCUGCAUAAUCAGCUGCCUGCAUGGAUCUGGAAACUCAUUCAUUCCUCUUCAAUAUGCUCCCAAAUACUUACCAUCGGUGUCUAAAAACCUUGUUUUUCUCCAAUCUGCUUUAAUAGGUUUUCUCACCUGUCAGAGGGGGUCCAAUGAGAACAGUGAUACUCUCCAGGAUGGUGAAGAGCCCUAGAGCGCUCGAGAACCUGUCCAUCUCCACCACAUCCAUCAGCACCUGGAAUGUGAGGGCUCCAAUGCCACUCAUGGCUAUACUGAAGAUGACGCAGUAGAAGAUGAGCAUGCUGAAUUCAGCUGAGA